GGUUAAGUGACUAAGCGUACACGGUGGAUGCCUUGGCAGUCAGAGGCGAUGAAAGACGUAGUAACUUGCGAUAAGCCCAGAUUAGGUAGUAACAACCAUUUGAGUCUGGGAUUUCUGAAUGGGGAAACCCACUUACAUAAGUAAGUAUCAUUAACUGAAUACAUAGGUUAAUGAGGCGAACCGGGGGAACUGAAACAUCUAAGUACCCCGAGGAAAAGAAAUCAACCGAGAUUCCGAAAGUAGCGGCGAGCGAAAUUGGACUAGCCCUUAAGCUUUACACGCGUUAGACGAACGGUCUGGAAAGUCCGACGAUACAGGGUGAUAGUCCCGUAGUUGACGACGUGUGUUCAGUGAAAUCGAGUAGGGCGGGACACGUGAUAUCCUGUCUGAAUAUGGGGGGGCCAUCCUCCAAGGCUAAAUACUACUGACUGACCGAUAGUGAACCAGUACCGUGAGGGAAAGGCGAAAAGAACCCCUGUGAGGGGAGUGAAAUAGAACCUGAAACCGUGUACGUACAAGCAGUAGGAGCAGGCUUUGUCCUGUGACUGCGUACCUUUUGUAUAAUGGGUCAGCGACUUAUAUUCAGUGGCAAGGUUAACCAUCUAGGGGAGCCGUAGGGAAACCGAGUCUUAACUGGGCGUUCAGUCUCUGGAUAUAGACCCGAAACCAGGUGAUCUAGCCAUGGGCAGGUUGAAGGUUGAGUAACAUCAACUGGAGGACCGAACCGACUAAUGUUGAAAAAUUAGCGGAUGACUUGUGGCUAGGGGUGAAAGGCCAAUCAAACCUGGAGAUAGCUGGUUCUCCCCGAAAGCUAUUUAGGUAGCGCCUCGGACGAAUACUACUGGGGGUAGAGCACUGUUAAGGCUAGGGGGUCAUCCCGACUUACCAACCCUUUGCAAACUCCGAAUACCAGUAAGUACUAUCCGGGAGACACACGGCGGGUGCUAACGUCCGUCGUGGAGAGGGAAACAACCCAGACCGCCAGCUAAGGUCCCAAAUUACUACUAAGUGGGAAACGAUGUGGGAAGGCUCAGACAGCCAGGAUGUUGGCUUAGAAGCAGCCAUCAUUUAAAGAAAGCGUAAUAGCUCACUGGUCGAGUCGGCCUGCGCGGAAGAUGUAACGGGGCUAAGUAGUAAACCGAAGCUGCGGCAAUGUGCUUUUGCACAUUGGGUAGGGGAGCGUUCUGUAAGCGGUUGAAGGUGUGUGGUAACGCAUGCUGGACGUAUCAGAAGUGCGAAUGCUGACAUGAGUAACGAUAAAGGGGGUGAAAAACCUCCUCGCCGGAAGACCAAGGGUUCCUGUCCAACGUUAAUCGGGGCAGGGUAAGUCGACCCCUAAGGCGAGGCCGAAGGCGUAGUCGAUGGGAAACGGGUUAAUAUUCCCGUACUUCUUACAAUUGCGAUGGGGGGACGGAGAAGGCUAGGUGGGCCUGGCGACGGUUGUCCAGGUUCAAGUGCGUAGGCUUAAGAGUUAGGUAAAUCCGGCUCUUUUUAAGGCUGAGACACGACGUCGAGCACCUACGGGUGUGAAGUCAUUGAUGCCAUGCUUCCAGGAAAAGCCUCUAAGCUUCAGAUUGUAAGGAAUCGUACCCCAAACCGACACAGGUGGUCGGGUAGAGAAUACCAAGGCGCUUGAGAGAACUCGGGUGAAGGAACUAGGCAAAAUGGUACCGUAACUUCGGGAGAAGGUACGCUCUUGAUGGUGAAGUCCCUUGCGGAUGGAGCUGACGAGAGUCGCAGAUACCAGGUGGCUGCAACUGUUUAUUAAAAACACAGCACUGUGCAAAAUCGUAAGAUGACGUAUACGGUGUGACGCCUGCCCGGUGCCGGAAGGUUAAUUGAUGGGGUUAGACUUCGGUCGAAGCUCUUGAUCGAAGCCCCGGUAAACGGCGGCCGUAACUAUAACGGUCCUAAGGUAGCGAAAUUCCUUGUCGGGUAAGUUCCGACCUGCACGAAUGGCGUAAUGAUGGCCACGCUGUCUCCACCCGAGACUCAGUGAAAUUGAAAUCGCUGUGAAGAUGCAGUGUACCCGCGGCUAGACGGAAAGACCCCGUGAACCUUUACUACAGCUUGGCACUGAACAUUGACCCUACAUGUGUAGGAUAGGUGGGAGGCUUUGAAGCACGUACGCCAGUAUGUGUGGAGCCGUCCUUGAAAUACCACCCUUGUAGUGUUGAUGUUCUAACGUCGACCCCUAAUCGGGGUUGCGGACAGUGCCUGGUGGGUAGUUUGACUGGGGCGGUCUCCUCCCAAAGAGUAACGGAGGAGCACGAAGGUGGGCUAAUCACGGUUGGACAUCGUGAGGUUAGUGCAAUGGCAUAAGCCCGCUUGACUGCGAGAAUGACAAUUCGAGCAGGUGCGAAAGCAGGUCAUAGUGAUCCGGUGGUUCUGAAUGGAAGGGCCAUCGCUCAACGGAUAAAAGGUACUCCGGGGAUAACAGGCUGAUACCGCCCAAGAGUUCAUAUCGACGGCGGUGUUUGGCACCUCGAUGUCGGCUCAUCACAUCCUGGGGCUGAAGUCGGUCCCAAGGGUAUGGCUGUUCGCCAUUUAAAGUGGUACGCGAGCUGGGUUUAGAACGUCGUGAGACAGUUCGGUCCCUAUCUGCCGUGGGCGUUGGAAGAUUGAAGGGGGCUGCUCCUAGUACGAGAGGACCGGAGUGGACGAACCUCUGGUGUUCGGGUUGUGUCGCCAGACGCAUUGCCCGGUAGCUAAGUUCGGAAUCGAUAACCGCUGAAAGCAUCUAAGCGGGAAGCGAGCCCUGAGAUGAGUCUUCCCUGAUACUUUAAGUAUCCUAAAGGGUUGUCGGAGACUACGACGUUGAUAGGUCAGGUGUGUAAGUGCUGUGAGGCAUUGAGCUAACUGAUACUAAUUGCCCGUGAGGCUUAACCAU
rnacentral:rRNA from 1 species